rnacentral:rRNA from 1 species
CGGCUAUCACUCCUACGGGAGGCAGCAGUGGGGAAUAUUGCACAAUGGGGGGAAACCCUGAUGCAGCCAUGCCGCGUGUGUGUAAGAAGGCCUUCGGGUUGUAAAGCACUUUCAGUAGGGAGGAAGGUAGUGUAGUUAACACCUGCACUAUUUGACGUUACCUACAGAAGAAGCACCGGCUAACUCCGUGCCAGCAGCCGCGGUAAUACGGAGGGUGCGAGCGUUAAUCGGAAUUACUGGGCGUAAAGCGCAUGCAGGCGGCCUGUUAAGUCAGAUGUGAAAGCCCGGGGCUUAACCUCGGAAUUGCAUUUGAAACUGGCAGGCUAGAGUCUUGUAGAGGGGGUAGAAUUUCAGGUGUAGCGGUGAAAAUGCGUAGAGAUCUGAAGGAAUACCAGUGGCGAAGGCGGCCCCCUGGACAAAGACUGACGCUCAGAUGCGAAAGCGUGGGGAGCAAACAGGAUUAGAUACCCUGGUAG